GGUGAACGCUGGCGGCGUGCUUAAGACAUGCAAGUCGAACGCAGUCUUCGGACUGAGUGGCGCACGGGUGAGUAACACGUAACUGACCUACCCCCAAGUCGCGAAUAACCAGCCGAAAGGAUGGCUAAUACGUGAUGUGAUGAUCGGCUGUGGCGGAUCAUUAAAGACUUGAUGGCUUGGGGCUGGGGUUGCGUUCCAUCAGCUAGUUGGUAAGGUAAAGGUGUAACAAGGCGACGACGGAUAGCCGGCCUGAGAGGGUGGCCGGCCACUGGGGCACUGAGACACGGGUCCCACUCCUACGGGAGGCACCAGGUAGGCAUCUUCCACAAUGGGCGGAAGCCUGAUCGAGCGACGCCGCGUGAGGGAUGAAGGUUCUCGGAUCGUAAACCUCUGAACCAACGACGAAAGACCCGACAAGGGAGAUGACGGUAGUUGGGUAAUAGCACCGGCUAACUCCGUGCCAGCAGCCGCAGUAACAC
rnacentral:rRNA from 1 species